AGAGUUUGAUCCUGGCUCAGGAUGAACGCUAGCGACAGGCUUAACACAUGCAAGUCGAGGGGCAGCAGGGGAGUAGCAAUACUCCCGCUGGCGACCGGCGCACGGGUGAGUAACACGUAUGCAACCUGCCCUUGUCAGGGGGAUAAGCGGGAGAAAUUCCGUCUAAUACCGCAUAAUACCUUAUGGGGACAUCCUCAUGAGGUCAAAGAUUUAUCGGACAAGGAUGGGCAUGCGUCGCAUUAGUUAGUUGGCGGUGUAACGGACCACCAAGACGACGAUGCGUAGGGGUUCUGAGAGGAAGGUCCCCCACACUGGUACUGAGACACGGACCAGACUCCUACGGGAGGCAGCAGUGAGGAAUAUUGGUCAAUGGGCGGGAGCCUGAACCAGCCAAGUCGCGUGAGGGAAGACGGUCCUAAGGAUUGUAAACCUCUUUUGUCAGGGAGCAAGGACUGCCACGAGUGGCAGGGCGAGAGUACCUGAAGAAAAAGCAUCGGCUAACUCCGUGCCAGCAGCCGCGGUAAUACGGAGGAUGCGAGCGUUAUCCGGAUUUAUUGGGUUUAAAGGGUGCGCAGGCGGACCGGAAAGUCAGCGGUAAAAUCGAGGAGCUCAACUCCUUCCAGCCGUUGAAACUGUCGGUCUAGAGUGGGCGAGAAGUAUGCGGAAUGCGUGGUGUACCGGUGAAAUGCAUAGAUAUCACGCAGAAUUCGGAUGGCGAAGGCAGCAUACCGGCGCCCAACUGACGCUCAGGCACGAAAGCGUGGGUAUCGAACAGGAUUAGAUACCCUGGUAGUCCACGCAGUAAACGAUGAAUACUAAUUGUUCGGCGCGAAUGAGCGCUGAGUGAUACAGCGAAAGCGUUAAGUAUUCCACCUGGGGAGUACGCCGGCAACGGUGAAACUCAAAGGAAUUGACGGGGGCCCGCACAAGCGGAGGAACAUGUGGUUUAAUUCGAUGAUACGCGAGGAACCUUACCCGGGCUCAAACGACAGACGGAUACUUUUGAAAGGAGGUAGCUCCUCGGAGCGUCUGUCGAGGUGCUGCAUGGUUGUCGUCAGCUCGUGCCGUGAGGUGUCGGCUUAAGUGCCAUAACGAGCGCAACCCCCAUCUACAGUUGCCAUCGAGUGAAGUCGGGCACUCUGUAGAGACUGCCGGCGCAAGCUGUGAGGAAGGCGGGGAUGACGUCAAAUCAGCACGGCCCUUACGUCCGGGGCGACACACGUGUUACAAUGGCAGGUACAGCGGGAAGCCACCUGGCGACAGGGAGCGGAACCCGAAAACCUGUCUCAGUUCGGAUUGGAGUCUGCAACUCGACUCCAUGAAGCUGGAUUCGCUAGUAAUCGCGCAUCAGCCAUGGCGCGGUGAAUACGUUCCCGGGCCUUGCACACACAGGCCGUCA
rnacentral:rRNA from 1 species